rnacentral:rRNA from 1 species
UACAGAGGUCCCAAGCGUUGUUCGGAUUCACUGGGCGUAAAGGGUGCGUAGGUGGCGGGGUAGGUCUGACGUGAAAUCUCCGAGCUUAACUCGGAAACUGCGUCGGAUACUAUUCGCUCGAGGGUUGGAGGGGGGACUGGAAUGCUUGGUGUAGCAGUGAAAUGCGUAGAUAUCAAGCGGAACACCAGUGGCGAAGGCGAGUCCCUGGACAACUCCUGACACUGAGGCACGAAAGCUAGGGGAGCAAACAGG